CCCUGUCAUGGCUGCUUCCCGUCCGUGAACAUCGGAGGCCUGAGCCCGGGGAGUGUUGGCUGCUUUCGCCCCUGCCGCCGCGCUGGGUGCUCCCAGAGAAAGGCUUUGCAAAUGGAUGGAAUGAGAAGACACUCUCUGAAGAAACUGGAAGUGCAGCUUCUCUCAGAAUCAUAGCUCUAGAAGGAUCCUCAGAAGUCCUUUGAUUUAAAAUGCACAUUCUUUCCAUAAUGGGACUGAUAUUUUAACACUGGAACUGAAUAUGGCUUCCCUUGGAAAUCCUAAACCUAUGAUUUCGUGGAAAUCCCAGCAUUCCCAGAUAAGAAAAAUAGGAUUUGUACACCAGUUCUCUGACUUUAAAGCUAGUGUUCUGUCCAUUGUACCACAAUUGGCUCCCUAUUAUUAAUGUAAUGCAGAUCAGGGAAAUAUAAUAAAGGUGUGUUGUUUGUUUUGA